AUUGAACGCUGGCGGCAGGCCUAACACAUGCAAGUCGAACGAGUGGCGGACGGGUGAGUAAUGUCUGGGAAACUGCCCGAUGGAGGGGGAUAACUACUGGAAACGGUAGCUAAUACCGCAUACCAUCGGCAGUGCCCAGAUGGGAUUAGCUAGUAGGUGGGGUAAAGGCUCACCUAGGCGACGAUCGCUAGCUGGUGUGAGAGGAUGAACAGCGACCUUGGAACGGAGACAGGGUCCAUACUCCUACGGGAGGCAGCAGUGGGGAAUAUGGCACAAUGGGCGCAAACCUGAUGCAACCAUGCCGCGUGUAUUAAGAAGGCCUUCGGGGUGGAAAGUACUUUCAGCGGGGAUGCGUUACCCGCAGAAGAAGCACCGGCUAACUCCGUGCCAGCCGCCGCGGUAAUAC
rnacentral:rRNA from 1 species